CCCGCUGAACUUAAGCAUAUCAAUAAGCGGAGGAAAAGAAACUAACAAGGAUUCCCCUAGUAACUGCGAGUGAAGCGGGAAAAGCUCAAAUUUAAAAUCUGGUGGUCUUUGGCUGUCCGAGUUGUAAUCUAGAGAAGCGUCAUCCGCGCUGGACCAUGCACAAGUCUCCUGGAAUGGAGCGUCAUAGAGGGUGAGAAUCCAGUAUCCGGUAUGUGACACCGCACUGCCUGUGUUAUGCGCUCUGGUAGAGUAGAGUUGAGUGGGAAGGCAGCUCAACUUGGGAGGUGAGCUCCAUCUCAAGCUAAACAUUAUAGAGAGGAGAAUAGCGUACAGGUCCAGUGAGGUAAAGAUGAGAUGCACUGUGCUUAGAGAGUAGAGCAGUACGUGACGUGGUAGAGAGGGAAGCGCUUGAAGUCAGUUGAGUCGCGUGAGCCUCAGCUCAGCCUCGCCUUGGUGCAUGUCGUGCCCUGUGGGGUAAGCAUCAGUUUCACUCCUGUGGAUGAGGACUAGGGUACAGGGGACUCCGUCAUCGUUGUGUGAGAGUCACUCGUCGCAUGCAAGCAUCAGUUGUGAGUGAGCACCGCAUCCACCCGCGGGGCUCGGGGCUCUAGUCCCCCAAUCAUGCUUAGGAUGUUGGCAUAAUGGCUUUAAUCGACCCGUCUUGAAACACGG
rnacentral:rRNA from 1 species